rnacentral:misc_RNA from 1 species
UACGUAGGGCGCAAGCGUUGUCCGGAAUUAUUGGGCGUAAAGAGCUCGUAGGCGGUCUGUCGCGUCUGGUGUGAAAACCCGAGGCUCAACCUCGGGCUGGCAUCGGGUACGGGCAGGCUGGAGUGCGGUAGGGGAGACUGGAAUUCCUGGUGUAGCGGUGGAAUGCGCAGAUAUCAGGAGGAACACCGAUGGCGAAGGCAGGUCUCUGGGCCGUUACUGACGCUGAGGAGCGAAAGCAUGGGGAGCGAACAGG